AUCCUUUUUGUCAUGGCAUUAUCCAUUUCUUCCACUUCCAGUUCCACAACGAUAUUUUCCAGGUCCCCUCAAUUCAUGAAUCGCUUGAGAGUGGUUAAAACAAAGUGUGAAUCAAUCGCCUGAGACCGGCCGGCUGCAGGCAAAAAGUUCAAAACUUGAGAUAGGCUCCCCUCUUAUUGUUAUUCAGGCUCCCAAAAUGAUAAAGACCGCUACAUCUGUUCCAUGCCUUCGGGUGAAUUCUGGCUUAUUCAACCCUGAUGGGAAAUAUUUCAAGCCCUUGCAGCUUGAUGAAUGAUUCAGUAGGCUCUAUCAAUUUGAAGCAUUGGAGGUCACCAUCUUGUCCAAGCAUAAGCUCAAGCUGAAAGUAGUAGGCAUUAGGAGACCUUGUGUAUAAUUUUGGGUUUGUUUUAUUUCUGCCAGGCCUCUACAUAUAUAGAGAGAGUUAUCUCCUGAUCGAUCAUGCUUUAGACGCUCAUGGCUGAGCCCUUUGUUUGCGACAGAGCAUCCAAUAUGUUUUGUAACUCCUUGGACACAAUGCUACAGUAAUAGAGCAGAUCUAAUUAAUGCAUCUAUUACAUA